rnacentral:rRNA from 1 species
CAGUCGCCGCGGUAAUACGAAGGGGGCUAGCGUUGCUCGGAAUGACUGGGCGUAAAGGGCGCGUAGGCGGUCACGAUAGUCAGAUGUGAAAUUCCUGGGCUUAACCUGGGGACUGCAUUUGAUACUGUGUGGCUUGAGUGUGGAAGAGGGUCGUGGAAUUCCCAGUGUAGAGGUGAAAUUCGUAGAUAUUCGCAAGAACACCGGUGGCGAAGGCGGCUCACUGGUCCGGAACUGACGCUGAGGCACGACAGCGUGGGGAGCAAACAGGAUUAGAUACCCCCGUAGUCCCUGUCUCUUAUAC